rnacentral:misc_RNA from 1 species
GGAACUCUAAACAUCAAUCAAUAUUAUAAUAAAUUCUUACUUCGAAAAAUAAUUUAAACAGUGUUUAAUAUGAUACUUUCAAAAUAAAAAUAACUUUCAGUGAGGAUUCAAAUCUCACCAACAUUAAAAAAUUAUCUUCUAACGCUAAAAGAAUAAUAGCAUUUGACCCCGAGCAUGAAACUGCUCUCCAAAAACUACUACUAUUUUUUUUUCUUUCCCAAAAUAAACUUCACUCUCUCACCUCAUAUGCUAUAGAAUUGUUUAAAUAUUUAAUUUUCCAAUUUAAUAAUUUAUUUUUUAAAUACAUUUAUCUCAUAUCAACCCGCACGCCAUAUGUUAUAUAGAGCAUUGUUGUAGUAUUUCUGCUACAAUUUUAGAUAAUGAUUAUUUUUUUUAAUUCUAUUUUAACUUUAUCCUCUAUC